UUUUAAUUAAUAUAAAAUAUGUUAUUUAUAAAAUGUUAUUUAUAAAAUAUGUUAUUUAUUUAAUAUUUUAUUUACUUAACAAGAUGGUAAAAAAAUAAAAAAAUAAUAUAAAAGUGAAUGUUGUUAGUGGUGACAAUUUCCAUAGUGGAGUAGGUUGGUGGGGAAGAUGACGUGGCGCAGAGGUGGCGUCACUUUUCCGGUGAGUUUGUAGUGACCACUCCAUAUAGCCUUGCCACCACCACCACCCUCGACUUUUCUGUAAACACUGCCACCACCGGUCAAUACCUCUCUCUCCCACCAUCACCUGCCGGAAAAAUAUGAACAACCACCGCCUCUCUCUCUCUCCUGAUGAACCCACAGUCUUUCUCCAGAUUUUCUAACAUACAUGAAUACAAAAAAAUCUGAAAUUUAACAUACAUGAACACAUAAACAAUCAAGAAAUUUGAACACACACACUAAAAAAUCAUAAACUUAAAAAACAAGAACACAUACAAAACCCAUAUAUUUUCUAUCACUUCAAGUGGGAGACGAAGAGACAGAAAUGUUGAUCGGAGAUCGGAGCUACAAACUUUGCUUGGUCCGUUAUCACUUCAAACCUUCACAAACGUAGAUCGAACUUCUGCCUCGUAUCACCGUCUUCUCCUAUAAAACCCUAAUCGUUCUUCUGCCUCCUAUCGCCACCGCCCUUCGUGGUGAAACCCUUGGUAGUUUUGAUGCCUCUGAUCGAUGAAAGGGAAUUCCAACAACUAGACGAGAAGGGAGGUCCGAAGAUCUGUUUGUGGUGAAGGGGUGAAGCAAGAAAGGAGAGAGACGCUCAAACCCAACAACGUCGCUCAAAUCCUUACGUUGGCGGCUAGGGGUUUCAUAUGGAUUGUCCUCUAUGUCCNGCUAGGGUUUUCAUAUGGAUUGUCCUCUAUGUCCUCUGCUCCGAUGACGACUUCACCUCUGCAAAGCCUACAUCGAAACCCCCUCGUUCCAGCUGCCAUCAUCGCCUCUUUAAACCCAAACUUUGUCUCUCCCCUUCUCCAACGAUGGUGCCUAGUUUCGGAUCAGAAGGGAAUCAGAUCAGGUUCAAAGGUUGCAUAGUCGUGGUGGCGGCCAAGAGUUAACAGAAGAAAGGAAGACGGCGUCGGAGGUUGGUGAGGGGGCGGUGAAGGCGGAUAGUGGUUGCAGUUAGGGUGUUAUUGUGUGUGUGUGUUUCCCUAACAGAGAGAGAAAGAGAGGUGACGAGAGAGAGAGAGCAUUUUUCUUUUCUUUUUUUAUUUAUUUUGUAAAAAAAUUGAAAAAACAAUAUGCAAAGGGCAAAGUCGUCAUUUAAAACCAUAAUGGACCAAACUCGUAACAAAAUAAAACUGUUUGGACCA
rnacentral:lncRNA from 1 species